GACGAACGCUGGCGGCGUGGAUUAGGCAUGCAAGUCGGACGGUAGGGCUUUAUCGUAAGAUAGAGUUUGAGAGUGGCGAACGGGUGAGUAACACGUAGGAAUCUACCCUUAAGACGGGGACAACCCAGGGAAACUUGGGCUAAUACCGGAUGAGAGUGCGAGAGAUUGCAUUUAAAAGGAUGGCGAAAGUUGUCGCUUAGGGAUGAGCCUGCGGUCUAUUAGUUAGUUGGUGAGGUAAGAGCUCACCAAGGCGAUGAUAGAUAGGCGGCCUUAACGGGUGGUCGCCCACACUGGGAUUGAGAUACGGCCCAGACUCCUACGGGAGGCAGCAGUCGAGAAUAGUCUACAAUGGUCGGAAGACUGAUAGUGCGACGCCGCGUGAACGAUGAAUCCCUUCGGGGUUAAAGUUCUUUUAUAUGUGAGCAGUGCUUCUUAUAUUAACAGUAUGGGGAGAGAGAUAUUAGCAUAUGAAUAAGCAACGGCUAACUCCGUGCC
rnacentral:rRNA from 1 species